GGGAGACUUCUGUAGAGCACAGAACUCAGGCACAUGGAAAUGGGGUCUCUGGCUCAACUGCUCUGCUUCCUCAUGCUGUGGAUUCCAGAUGCCAUCAGUCAGAUUGUGCUGACCCAGUCCCCUGCCUCUCUGGUUGUAUCUCCAGGAGAGAGAAUCUCCAUCACUUGCAAGGCCAGUCAAAGUCUUGUAGAAUCUCAAGCCAAUUAUUUAAACUGGUACCAACAGAAAGCUUCGCAGGCUCCUAGGCUUCUCAUCAACUAUGCUUCCAACCUCAUGGCUGGAGUGCCUGCCCGCUUCAGGGGCAGCGGGUCCGGGACAGAUUUCUCCCUCACAAUCAGUAGUGUGGAGCCCGAGGAUGCUGCAGUCUACUAUUGUCAGCAGUCAAGAGUCUCUGCUCUCACAGUGCUCCAGCCCUGAACAAAAACCUCCCCU